GGGUCUUUGCUGCUGCCUUUUGUGCCGGACCACGUCAGUUUGCAAGGAGGAGAGGGGAGGGGACUUGGAGGAGACUUGCGGCUCCUGGCUGGAGCUGACCCUGGGCCUUCUCCCUGCCUUCCCAGGCGAGGAGUCCGCCUUGGCCGCGCGCCAGCUGCCACCCUCCUGGAGAAGGACCACACCUCUGCUGAAUCGCACUCGGGAAGAGGGCUGCUCCACCUUCCAGGCUGUGUGACUGCUACCAGAAGGGGAGCCUGAUCGACUGGCUGCCCUGGCUCAGUUAUCACAGUGCUGAUGCUGUCCAUUCUAAAGGUACAGUACUGUGAUAACUGAAGGAUGGCAGCCAUCUUGCCGCCUUGCAUCGGAGGAGCCACCUGGCACCAGGAGCGCACAAGGACCACUGGUAGCAUCUGGAGCAGGUGGCUGUGACCCAACUCUUCACUGCGUGAGCCCAUGGGAUCACCCUCCUAGGACAUGGAGAAUGUAACUCCCAUCUGCUGUGCCUCGUUUUGUGUGGAGCUGAAGCAUCUGGCCGUUGGCACAGCGGCUGAAGAUGGCCUGUGCUGAGAUCUUUGAGUCUUUAGGAGGCUGGUGUUGACUAAGGACUAAUUGUGAAUUU